CGGGUUGUAAAGCACUUUCAGUCGUGAGGAAGGUGGUAGUGUUAAUAGCACUAUCAUUUGACGUUAGCGACAGAAGAAGCACCGGCAACUCCGUGCCAGCAGCGCGGUAUACGGAGGGUGCGAGCGUAAUCGGAAUUACUGGCGUAAAGACGCAUGCAGGUGGUUUGUUAAGGUUCAGAUGUGAAAGACCCGGGGCGUCAACCUCCGGAAUAGCAUUUGUAAACUAGGCAAACUAAGAGUAACUGUAGAGGGGGGUAGGGAAGUUUACUAGGUGUAGCGGUGAAAUAGCGUAGAGAUCUGAAGGAAUACCGGUGGCGAAGGCGGCCCCCUCGGACAGAUACUGACACUCAGAUGCGAAAGCGUGGGGAGCAAACAGGAUUAGAUACCCUGGUAG
rnacentral:rRNA from 1 species